AGGUUGGUUAUUAGGGGUGACACACAGGUUGAAGGUGUUGAUUUUGCAGACACUUUUUCUCCUGUUGUUAAGAUGACUUCAGUGAAAUGCCUUAUUGCUGUGGCUGCCAAGAAUCACUGGCCCUUGUUUCAGCUUGAUGUCAAUAAUGCUUUCCUUCAUGGUGAUUUAGAUGAGGAAGUUUACAUGAAACUUCCUCCAGGUUUGAUUGUUUCUGAUCCUACUUCUCCCUCUACUUCUUCCUCUCUUCCUUUGGUUUGCAAACUCAAGAAAUCUUUAUAUGGGCUUAGGCAAGCCUCCAAGGAAUGGUAUGCUAAGUUGUCCUCUGCACUUCAUUCCAGAGGUUACAUGCAUUCUUUGAAUGACUAUUCUUUAUUCUUGAAAGGUACUCCUGGUUCCCUUGUUGUGGUAGCUGUGUAUGUUGAUGACAUUAUAAUUACUGGGGAUGACUAUGAUGAGAUUGCUGCCUUAAAAAUCUUCCUGGAUGACACAUUUAAAAUCAAGGAAUUGGGGUCAUUGCAUUAUUUCUUGGGUCUUGAGGUACAUCAUGUCUCUGGUGGGUUACACCUAAAUCAGCAUAAGUAUGUUACUGAUUUACUACAUGCCUUUGAUUGUGUUUCUGUUUCCCCUGCUAUUUCUCCUCUGGACAUUUCCAUCAAGUUACAUGCUGAUUCUGGUGAUAUUUUGCCCUCUCCUGACCAGUUCAGGAGUCUUGUUGGCAAAUUAUUGUUCUUAACUCAUACUCGACCUGAUAUCUGCUUGCCCUGAUACUAGACGUUCUGUUACUGGUUUUUGUGUACUUUUGGGUGGCAGUUUAAUUAGUUGGAAGUCGAAGAAACAACCUGUUGUCUCUCUUUCUUCUGCUGAGGCAGAAUACAGAGCCCUUAGCAAGGUUACAGCUGAAUUAACUUGGCUCUCUCGUUUACUUGAAGAUCUUGGGGCAUCUGUUCCUUCUCCUAUUUCUAUAUUUUGUGAUAGUCAGGCUGCUGUUCACAUUGCUAACAAUCCAGUUUUUCGUGAACGUACCAAACACAUUGAGGUGGAUUGUCACUUCAUUUGGGACUUGUUGCACACUGGUUUUCUCAAGCUUUCUCACGUUCCUACCUCUCGGCAGCUGGCUGAUUUGUUGACUAAGCCCUUAUCCGGGACUGCUCUUUCUCCACUUCUGUCCAAGUUGAUGGUGGUUUCCCCCCUUCAACUUGAGGGGGGGGGGGGUUGAGAUAUAGGCUAUCUAUUGGUUUUCUCAAGCUUUCUCACGUUCCUACCUCUCGGCAGCUGGCUGAUUUGUUGACUAAGCCCUUAUCCGGGACUGCUCUUUCUCCACUUCUGUCCAAGUUGAUGGUGGUUUCCCCCCUUCAACUUGAGGGGGGGGGGGGGUUGAGAUAUAGGCUAUCUAUGUAAUAGGGCUAUCUGUGUAAUAUGGCUAUCUAUGUAAUAAGCCAUUUAUGUAAAGGGUCAUUUUGUAUAUAUGUAUAGGGGUCGUUUUGUAAGAAGACUGAGGGGUCAUUUUAUGAGAAAUAUCUUCUCUAUUGUUCCAGAGACUUCCGCAAACUCUCCUCCUUCUCUCUACUUUCUCUCUCUAAAUUUCCAUGAUUUCUUGGAUGUUUUCAUGGUAUCAGAGCCUACACAAUGGUCCGAUGAUAUUUUUCUAUGAAUCAGUAGUUCAUUUGAACUGUUCUCUCCCAACAGUAUACACAACAAAAUGUUAAUGCUAGAGGGGUUACAACCAGAAUACAAUAACCAACACAUGGGGAGGCGGAUGCAACGUAUUGAUAUUGGGUUCAUUUGAACCCAGUAUUUCUACCGUAAAGCAUAAUUCUAUGCAUUAAAUUCACUACAAUUAC
rnacentral:lncRNA from 1 species